rnacentral:lncRNA from 1 species
UGAUGGAUAGUUUGUCCAUGAUCGAUGAUCAAAGACAUUGAAGAGCUUGAAUAGCUCGAUAUAACCAUACAUAAGAAAUUAUUAAUAGAUUUGAUCCUACAAUCUCUGACUCAUACGGAUAGUUUAUGAAACUAUUAUAUGAAUAAAUGUUAUAGCACCUUAGCUAAAUUGAUCAAUAUGCUGGUAACUAAAGGACCUUGAAAAGUUUAAAGGUACAUAUAUGGAGAACCUAAAAAAAUAUUAACACACCUUUGGAAGAUAUGUCAAAUUACUAAAAAUUGAUCUUACGAUUUUCUCUUUUUCAUUAGACUCUAGUGCAUAUUACGUACUUUAAUAUAAGGUCUAAGGAAGGAAGAGGACUGAGGAAAGGUGAAGUGACUCUUUUGAGUCAGUAAUUAUGCAAAAGUUGCACUGAGGCCAUGGAUACCUAAUCUCAGUGAUUACCGUUUGGAUUUAGUUCUUGAUCAUUUGCAUGGUGAUGCAUUUGUGAACUUAUUUGAGUAAAUAGUAAAUAUCAUUGGGUCU